UGCAAAGUCAAAACCUAAUAUCCAUCCACUAUUAGACAAAACAGCGACAGAACAUAUCAACUGAGGAUAAGACUAUUCGAUGUCAAAUUAUGCUCAUAAAGGAACUGGAGCAGAAGGUUGCGUUUAGUUUAAAGCCUGCGUGUCAGUAAGAUUCUCUCCAGGGACUUUGCGUUUAGCUCUUGCCCUCCAGGGUGUGCUUGUCAAACAGGUACUCUGCCAUCUUGUUGGUGUUGGCGUCCAUGCGGGUGAGGUUG